CCCUUUUCCCUUUCUGCCCUCUGCCAUGUGAGGUCACAGUGUUCCUCCCUCCUGAGGAUGCAGUGUUCAUGAAAGCAAACACUGGGCCCUCACCAGGCAACAAACCUGCUGGUGCCUUCAUCUUGGACUUCCCAGCCUUCGGAACUAUGGAGCCCGCACUCUCCAGUUCAUCACCACCCCAGCAUCCCUACUCUUGCAUCUAACAGUUUCCGCUAUUUUGCACCACCUGCCUGGCCCUUAUGGGCAACUCAAGGAAGAAAGGAAAGAAGAGAUAGAGGAAAAAUGGAUUCAACAAAUGAAAGUGUUCUUUCUGACUACUGCUGUGUUUACAAACAUUUUAAUCAUCAAAACAUGCUUUAUUUGAUAGAAAGAUCAAAUCUGCCUUUGUAAAACAAGAGACUAUUUUAAUCAUUAAGACAACACACAUGUUUGAUUUGGAGGCGUGUUCUCAUUCAAAACCUUGCAAAAUAUAAUUUCUUCUUGUCUGGGAGAUGGUGUCUUUCUUCGGGGAGAACCUUGAGAGAAAUGUCUAUGAAUGUGUCUGUAGAUUGAGGAUAGGCCAACAAACAUAUUUUGAAAUAUUUUUUCUUUCUUUUAAAAAAAUAGAUACUUUUAAAAGAAAAUGCUUAUUUAAAUUACAUAGCUCUUUUUUUCACUCUCAGUCAUCAUUUGUGGUUUCAGUCAGUACUACAUUUAUUCCCCAGAGCUAGGAUUGCUGUGUUUUUAGAAAGGGAGCCUGUUUGAAGGGACUCUAUACUCUUGCAGUAAUUAAAAUCCUUUUAGGAGUCUUUGACUUUGACUUACUGCUUUGUUUUAAAUUAUUGAAAUUAUUCAACUUCCCCAUUCUAACCCACGGAAGGCUGUUGUUGUUCUCAUUUAUAAUGGCACAAUAUAAGUUUAAAGAUAGCUGUCUCCACAUGAAUGCAUCUGCAAAUCCAUCUCUCUUCUCUCUUCUGCCAUCCAGGUUAAGAAGCUCCACUGCGCUUUGUCCAUUGCAAGUUGAGAAGUGAGGCCCCAGCUGUCACAUACAGUGAGUGAAGAAGCUGAGCUUCCCUCAACGCCUGGGCCUGUAUGAAUUUUUUUUUUUUUUUUUUUUUUGGAGACGGAGUCUCACUUUGUUGCCCAGGCUGGAGUGCAAUGGCACUAUCUCAGGCCACUGCAACCUCUGCCUCCCAGGUUCAAGCGAUUCUUCUGCCUCAGCCUCCUGAGUAGCUGGGAUUACAGAAGUGCACCAUUACAGCUUGCUAAUUUUUGUAUUUUUAGUAGAGAAGGGUUUUCACCAUGUUGGCCAGGUUGGUCUCGAACUCUUGGCCUCAGGUGAUCCGCCCGCACAGCCUCCCAAAGUGUUGGGAUUACAGGCGUGAGCCACUGCGCCCGGCCUUAGGCUCCAUCACAAGAGGGAGCCCCAUUGCUAGUCCCCAUCCUCAAAGCCUCUGCGUGAUGUUGUCUACUGUUACUCUUCACUACCCUGUGGGAGCCAAAGCCCUGGACAUAAGAACAGAAGGCAAGCAGUGGUGGCUGAGAGGAAGAACUGACACCUUUGUGCUAUCAGAGCACUUUGCAGAGGAGCUGUUAGUGGCCCUGUAGGAGUCUGCUGGCCAUACAUCUGGGUGUCAAAUCAAGAGAGCAUGAGAAGUUGGACAGGAAAGGUCCAAGGCAAAAUGGUUACUAAAGGCCAUCCCUGAUCCUGACCCUAAAAGAAGAAAAGGCCCUUUGCUCUUGGCAUGCUUUUGCAGGAGUGUCUCAGUCUGUUUGGGCUGCUAUAACAUUGACUGGGUGAUCUGCCUGCCUGGCCUCCCAAAGUGCUGGGGUUACAGGUGUGAGCCGCUGCACCAGGCCUUGAGGUCAGGAGUUCGAGACCAGCCUGGCCAACAUGGUGAAACCUGUCUUUACUAAAAAUACAGAAAUUAGCCAGGCAUGGAGGCGCAUGCCUGUAAUCCCAGCUACUGGGGAGGCUGAGGCAGGAGAAUCGCUUGAACCCAGAAGGUGGAGGUUGCGGUGAGCCCAGAUAGUGCCAUUGCACUCUAGCCUGGCCAACAAGAGUGAAACUCUGUCUCAAAAAAUAAAUAAACAAACAAACAAACAACAA
rnacentral:lncRNA from 1 species